UGCUAUACNUGCAAGUCGAGCGGACAGAAGGGAGCUUGCUCCCGGAUGUUAGCGGCGGACGGGUGAGUAACACGUGGGUAACCUGCCUGUAAGACUGGGAUAACUCCGGGAAACCGGAGCUAAUACCGGAUAGUUCCUUGAACCGCAUGGUUCAAGGAUGAAAGACGGUUUCGGCUGUCACUUACAGAUGGACCCGCGGCGCAUUAGCUAGUUGGUGGGGUAAUGGCUCACCAAGGCGACGAUGCGUAGCCGACCUGAGAGGGUGAUCGGCCACACUGGGACUGAGACACGGCCCAGACUCCUACGGGAGGCAGCAGUAGGGAAUCUUCCGCAAUGGACGAAAGUCUGACGGAGCAACGCCNCGUGAGUGAUGAAGGUUUUCGGAUCGUAAAGCUCUGUUGUUAGGGAAGAACAAGUGCGAGAGUAACUGCUCGCACCUUGACGGUACCUAACCAGAAAGCCACGGCUAACUACGUGCCAGCAGCCGCGGUAAUACGUAGGUGGCAAGCGUUGUCCGGAAUUAUUGGGCGUAAAGGGCUCGCAGGCGGUUUCUUAAGUCUGAUGUGAAAGCCCCCGGCUCAACCGGGGAGGGUCAUUGGAAACUGGGAAACUUGAGUGCAGAAGAGGAGAGUGGAAUUCCACGUGUAGCGGUGAAAUGCGUAGAGAUGUGGAGGAACACCAGUGGCGAAGGCGACUCUNUGGUCUGUAACUGACGCUNAGGAGCGAAAGCGUGGGGAGCGAACAGGAUUAGAUACCCUGGUAGUCCACGCCGUACACGAUGAGUGCUAAGUGUUAGGGGGUUUCCGCCCCUUAUUGCUGCAGCUAACGCAUUAAGCACUCCGCCAGGGGAGUACGGUCGCAAGACUGAAACUCAUAGGAAUUGACGGGGGCCCGCACAACCNGUGGAGCAUGUGGUUUAAUUCUUAGCAACGCGAAGAACAUACCAGGUCUUGACUUCCUCUGACAACCCU
rnacentral:rRNA from 1 species